CUUUAGCUCAGUGGUAGAGCAUUGCACUUGUAAUGCAAGGGUCGGUGGUUCAAACCCGCC
rnacentral:tRNA from 1 species